UAAAAUAUAUUUUUAGUUUGAGAAAAAUACAGUCGUUCCUUAGCGUUGGCUGAGUUCCCCUUCACAUGGUGGUUUGGCAUGAAGUGAACCCUAAGCUUUACCCUAGGAGAUACCCUACGCGCCUCUCCGUUCGAGGUAAUAAUAUAAUGGAGUUUACCGUGCCCCUCUAAUAGGCUGGUCCACGGAACCCCCUCUGCAGUAAAUAAUUAAUAUAUAAUCCACCGAUCAAUAAAAUUCAUUCUAGCAUGACAUGGCAAUUUAUCGCAACCUAGCCUCUCAAGGCUGAAUACACAGUAUAAAUAAUUCUAACACCAAAAUCAGUUUAGCCAUUCAUGCUCAUUUAUUGUGAUAAGCCAUUCAAUUCAAAACCAUAAAUUUGCAACACAAGCAGGCAAUCUCCAAUUACUCUAUUUUCAAAACCAGUAUUCGAUUUUUCCAGAAAAUUUAUAAAAUCAUUUUAUAAAAUCGUAAUUUCUCUUAAAACAUAGCAAUUUACCAUUUAAACUCAUUUUCCAUAAAAUCACACAAUUGUAUAAAACUACUUUAGAUAAUUAAGACGAUAAUAAGUUCACUCACUGUUCUAGGAGUCGAUGUACUCCUAAUCCCAAUCUCCAAGUACAAUUUCUGUACUUUUACCAGUGUACUUUGCUCACCACCUAUCCACAAUGUACAAUACAUAAUUCAUCACAUCAAUGCUUGACCAUUAUAAAAUCAAUUCAAGUUCGGUAUAUAUGCAUGAUAUGAUAUAUAACUUAUCAGACUACCGUUUAAAUACAGUGCUAACCUAAUUCGGCCUAUUAUCUCCAAUUUAACUCCAAAUCAAUUCUUCUCACUUUCUACACUCCAAUUAUACCUAAAUUACCUUAAUGACUAUAAUGAGAUUCAAUUUAUCAGUCUCGAUAACAAAUUACAAAAAUACCCCUAGUGGGUAAAAAAUCAUAUUUUUGCUCUGAAAAUUCUCAUUAUUUUUCUAGGCUCAUAAUUCAUCAUUUCUUAACCAAUUCUCCUAGAAUGAAAAUCAAAUUCAUCCUCACUCAACACAUGCUAAAUUCAGCCAUUAAGGGUUGUGGGAGAAAAUAAAUUCUUUUCUUAUUGUUUUGUUUCUAAAUAUGCUAAACUAACUUAAAACACUAACAUAACUUAAAAUCAAAUUAAUCUAACAAAUUUCUCUCUCCUAACCCAUUUUUCAGAAUUGAAUUCAUCAUAAUAACUCAAUAUUCAACCAUGGAAAUCAAGAACAAAAGCAUGGGUAAGCUAAGUAUCAAGGAGAACUAAAGAAAAUCUAACUUACCUAGCUUGUUUCCUUGAUUUCUUCACUUUUUCUUUGAAUUUUCACCUAGGUUUUCUUGUUUUUCCCUUUGUUCUUCCUCUCUUUCUCUCUCUUCCUUGCUUGGACGGCCAUAUGAAGAAAAUGGGUUGAUUUUAUGCCUUUUUAUAAAGAAAUAAUAAAAUACUCAAGGUAUGACACAUGGCAUUUUCUUAUUGGUCUAUUUUUAAAAUUUUAAAAUUUUAAUCCUUUUUAUCUCCACCACACAAUUAGUCAAUGGUCAAAAUGAGGAUAAAGAAGACCAUGUGCUGAAAAAAUGUCCUGGUGGCGAAAAAUUACAAUUUUGCCCCUAGGGUGGCAAAAUUACCAUUUUACCUUUUUUCUCCAAAUUAUACCAAAAUUAAAAUUUUUCACUUCUAAACCUAAAAUCUUACUCCAAUAAGUCAAAUGGGGCCAACAAAUCUUUUCUAAAAUUCCCAUUUUGUCUCUAGGUGGCAAAUGACCAUUUUGCCCCUAGAUAGUGAAAAUUUUGGUUUGUCUUCAAAUUGAUCCUCGAACUCCGAAUCACCAUAUUAAACCAUUCUGGGACUUUAAAAUUCUUAAUUUCAUCGUAAAUUCUCUAUUUUAUCUAGUUCGAGGCUUAAAUCAACUUUGUUGUACGUCUAGGUACAAUACCGGCUUUUGUAAAUUUUUCGGGACUCUCUUAGCAUGCAAACAUGCUAUCCAACACAUGUAUGUCAUGACAAAUAUUUUUAUAGAGCCGGGCUUGUCAUGUUCUCCCCCACUUGGAUCAACCAUAUGAUCCUUCUUCUUGACUGAUUUCGACAUCUGGCUAAAUAUUAAUAUUUUAAUAUUAUUUCAUUAAUAAAAUAUUAUUUUAUUCUAAAAAUUUUAUCUUCUCUCCUUGGUACCCGAAAUACCUUAUUAUGCCUCACUUGACUUCUGAAUCGCCUUUUAUCUCACAAAUUCUCCUCCGAUAAAAUUAUUAUUAUUUUAUUAUUAUUUUCUCAUUUACGAAAUAUUUUAUCUUAAACUACUCUUUUCGUCUCUUAUCACUUUUAAACAUUUUAAUUGACCUCAAUUUGCAUUCGAUCAACUUUAUUUAUUACCAUAUCAAAGUAUGGGGUAUUUCAAUCUCCCACACUUAAAUAGAAUUCGUCCCCGAAUUCUCAUCGAUGUUGCGUUAUCAAUCUCCUUCUAUGAUCUUACUCAUUGUUCCUUCUAUGGGGACAUUUAAUUUAUUUACCUCGUUCACCUUCAAUUCAAUUAAAUGCUUUAUUUAUGGCAAUUAUCAUCCUUUGGAACUGGCUCAGUAAUAUUUUUCACAACCAUGAUCUCUUAUAUCGAGACACUAAGCAUGCCUUCAUCACCAUUAUUACAUUUGAACCAUAACUUCAUCUCAAUUAUACCGAUUUCGAUCACAUAUCAUACUUACUUAUGUAUACCUAUUCAUCGUUUUAUUAAUUUGCUCCAUACCAAAUUUCUCAACCUUGAUUCAUCCAUCUUAUACUAGUCCAUACCCUUCCUUUAAUAAAGUUCCAUUAAGAACUUAAACAAUUCAAGGUUUACUUUCAAAGUCAUUCAUAACUUUAAUCGUUCAUUACAUGUCCGUUAACACUUUAGCUCACUGACCUCCUCUAACAUUAUUUCAAAAUCUCCCAAUUACUGAGAACAAUUCUUCACCUUAGUUAGUCAAAUUAUCAAUUUCAUAUAUACAUGUGUACAUGUAUUUUCAAAUGUCAACAUCUCUCGUUAUGUAUAGAGAUCCAUGUGUUCACAUACCUUGGACUACAUUCCCCCGUUAUUCAUCUGUAUCCCAAUCGUAGUUUCCAUAUAUCGAUUCUUAUAGUGCAUGUCAACCUUCUUAUUAUACUUGCAAACCACUUUAUAUCAUUCAUAUCUUUUCCAACCAUAUGUUUGAGUUUCCUUAUACUAUAUAUCAUUGCCUCACAAUGUCAUCUCCAUUGAAUUAUAAUCUAUUAUGCGUGUAUGCUUUAUAAUCCUAUUGAUGCCUCAAAGAUUUAUCUUAACUUGAUCAUUGCAUCUCAUGCAAUACCACAAUUCCUAAGAGUCAUCCUUUUGUCCUUAAUCAUCUUUCAUGCCUCUAUAUUACCUUGUAUCUUUCUUGCAUUACGAUAUUGAUUUGUCACUUAAGACUCAAACCCAUUUGAAUCAUGUAUGCCUUAAGCAUUUUCGAAUUCCAAUUUCCAUAAUAUAUUAGGAAAGUUUCAUUAUCUGACUUCAUUUUCAAGGUCAACUUCUAUCAUCCUUUGUUCCACUCCUUCAUAUGAACAUAACAUCAUUCUUCCUUAACUAAUUUAUAAAUUGUACUUGAAAUUGUAAAACUUAAAACUAGAUUCUCCUCAAGUAUUUUUCAAUACUAAUACUAAUAUCACUCUCAGCUUACAGCUUCCUUUUUAUAAUCACAUAACUUAGUGCUUGCUUUAACGAGAUCCAGAGUAAAACUUCUCUUGAGUAUUUCCUUGGGAAUAUCUAUCUUAAACUUAUGUCUCACAGCAUGUGAUCCCUUAACUUGUGAUUUAGCCGUUAGGCUUCUCAGCAAGUUUUAAAAAUUUUACGUUUCAUACUUGCUGUGUAUGAUUAUAAUCUCUUCUCAAAGAUGUUUAUGUAUUCCUAAAACACUUACUCUUAAAGAUAUAUAAAUACGUACUCAUCCAUUCAAUCCCUAACUCAUCUUCAUAGGUUUCUAGGGUGUCACACAAUUAGCCUCAUGUUGUUACUAACCCUUGUCAUUUUACUGUAUCAAAACAGAUAUUACAAAUUCUCAUAAUGAUAUUCUAUAUAAACUGAUUUUCUAUACCAGUCUCGUAAUUCUUCCUUCACACUUUCAUUACUUGGUAUCUCAUCUCAAUAUAGUCAUCUCAAGAAUCUUUCAAAUUUUUUUUUUUUAAUUAUAUGCCUAUAUACAAGGCAAUAAAGAAGUUUUUCAAUUCAUUUGGGUAAACAUUCUCCAGAAUAUUUAAGACUCCCAGAUAACAAAACACAAUGACCAACAACCAAAAUUCAAUUUGUAAGCUCAUUAUCGUGUCACUCCCAUCUUACUCAUGCAUCAUAGGCGUGAGGUAUUCGGAGCAUUAUAGCGUUGAACAGUCAAUGUUGAAGCACUGUAGCUAUUAGAAAUUUUCUCAUCAAAGCUAUUUGUCUGCAUUCAAAGUCACCACAUCAAUCAUUCUCAACCAGUGGUUUCCCUUUUAGAUAUAUAUCAUGAGUUCCAUAAGUAUAGGUACCUUCUAUUUUCUUGUCAUACACACUAAGCCAGAUUAAUACUUUCAUCUCAUGUCAUCUUUUGACGUUUAUCAACAUUCAUAAAAUUCCACCUCAAAACAUCCUUUCCAUACAGUGUAAUAAAUUCAUGAUAAAUAUACCACUCCACACAUAAGUUGCUUACUAUCUACAACUUUCCUCAAAUUUAUUGUCAUCCCUAUCCAAUUAUCUUCUUUGUCUUAUACUCCAAUAAUCUUAUUGACUUUCGGUAUAAUUAACUACGAAAACAGCCCAGCUUCCUCCUCACUUUAUUCUCGCAAUCCUUACUGAAUCAAAAUUUUAUAUUCCCCAUAUUCCAUAAUUUAACUUCAUUGGGUUAUAUUUGUGCCCAACUAUUACCUCAUAGUGUCAUAACAUCACUGAAUAAUCCCCUUCAUGCUUAAAUUACAAUCAUUAACUUAAUCACAUUAUCCAUUCCGAAUGUCAUUUAUAACCUUAUUGCUUCCUUCUAUAACCUUCCUCAAUAAUUAUAUUACCAAUUUAUCUCUAUCAUACUAAAGAUUCCCAUAUACCUUCAGUUACUUAAACAGCCAUUUUAUAAUACAUUCUAGUCCUAUACUUUAAAAGCCAAACUAUUUUUACUUCUUUGUAUAGAUAAUUAUUAUCUCUUUUACACAACAUCUACUUAGAGUUAAGGUAGUGUAAAAUCCUACGAAAAUAUUACAUGUCCUUGGGAUCAUCAUCUUAAUCUGAUCUUAUCGGAAGAUUCUACUCUGAGUCCUCCUGAAGAUCCUCUUCUGAGUUUUCCUCCUCUUGAGAUUUUUUUCCUUUGCUCCUCAAUCCAAGCUUGUUGUAUUCUCCUAUACUCUUCAUCACUCACGGGUGCAGCAUUUCUUCCACAACCGGGAGGAAAAUGUCGUACACCUGACACUUUUCUAAGGGGUUUACUUGCCACUGUUACUUUCUCCUUAUCCUUUUCUGGUUGUCCCCUUACAUUUCUCCCACAGCCUGGUGGAAAGUGUCGGACUACUGUCACGCUCUUCCUAGAACGAAUACCUCCUUCGGCUAUCCUUAAUUUCCCCCUUUCUUUAACAUGUUCCUUAGAUUUUCUCAAAAGGGAACCUCUUAUGCUUACAUUAAUAUUAUUACUAUCUGCACUUUUUGGACUACUCGGUUCGGGUUGCCAUCGGCUCUUAGCAGUAGAAUCUAGCGAUCCCUCGCUAAUACUAUGAGAGGCGUCGGGACUACCGUCUCUCCUAGACAUGGUGUAUGUGUCACCAGCGCACCUCAAAACCUAUAUGCAAUCAAAUAGUAAUUGUUUAAUUAUUUAUGCAUCUCAAAAAUAGGUAGAUUUCUAUAUGUAGAUGCAUACAUUCUAUUCAAUCUAACCUAACUUAACUUAACUUAACUUAUCUUAACUUAACUGGACUUGGGGCCACGCAGUGUCAGUGUAGAUUUCUUAAAACAACCUUAAAAUCAAAAACUUUAAAAUCCAAAGCUUUAAAAUCAAAAUAUCUGAUCUUUAAACCAUGCUCUGAUACCAAUCUAAAUUGUCACGACCCGAAACUCCCCAUCGAGCCCGUGACAACCGCCGCGAGGCCUCGACAGACAUUCUUCACCCCGAAUGCCUAUCGAAACCCCGUAAGGCUUAGCAUCAACUUUCGCAUCUCCCCGGUGAGCAACAAUUAUAAAAUCUCGCAUUUAAAAAAAUCAUAAGUCAUUUUCAAAUAAGAACAAUAAAAUAUUAUUUUCUGGCUCAUAGGGGCAUUUUCGUAAUUUUUCGUCAAAAAUCUCAAAACUUGCUAAAAAUGUAAUAGGUAAGCAGAAAAUAUAUAUUUAAUGAUUUAAAAACAAAAUAAGUAUCUAAAACGUUCAUUUGAAAGCAAAUUGUUAACAACUAGUACUAUUCAAAAAUAAUUAAUAAAAUAUUCUAUUUUCUCAUAAAAUAAAUUUUUAUAGAAAUAUUCGUAAAUAAUUUUUCGCACAUGAAAGUAAAGUAAAAAUUGUAUGAAUAGAAAUACAGAUAACCAAAAUAUAAGUUUUGAUCUGCAAUGACACGUGGGCUCCAAUUGACCAAGAGGAUGUAAGACUGUGAACUCUUACUUUCUAUAAUGCAGUUCCGAGCUUAGUUCUCGUCCUACUCGACUAUCUACAAACUGUCCUGAGCCUGAAAAAUGUAUAGGAAGAAGGGGUGAGAUUUUAUAAUCCCAGUGAGUAAACAGAUACCAUCUAAAGUAUCUAAAGCCGAGUAAAUGGAGACAAUUAAAAUAAGUCAUCAUACUGUAAUUUCAUUACCUUUCAGUUCAUUUCAACCAAAUAAAAUCAAUCCAUAAAAAUCGAGUAAUCAACUUGGCUUAUGAAUUUCUUAAAACUUUGGCUCGUGCCAAAACUCAUACUCGGUGAUACCUUGCGCAGGGCAUCCAAUCGAGUCCGCCAAGGCUAUUAAAAUUUUUGUAUACACUUAAAAUAUGUUUUUAGUUUGAGAAAAAUACAGUCGUUCCUUGGCGUUGGCUGAGUUCCUCUUCACGUGGUGGUUUGGCGUGAAGUGAACCCUAAGCUUUAGCCCAAGAGAUACCCUACGUGCCUCUUCGUUCGAGGUAAUAAUAUAAUGGAGUUUACCGUGCCCCUCUAAUAGGCUGGUCCACGAAACCCCCUCUGUAGUAAAUAAUUAAUAUAUAAUCCACCGAUCAAUAAAAUUCAUUCUAGCAUGACAUGGCAAUUUAUCGCAACCUAGCCUCUCAAGGCUGAAUACACAGUAUAAAUAAUUCUAACACCAAAAUCAGUUUAGCCAUUC
rnacentral:lncRNA from 1 species